GGCCGAGCAGGCGGAGAGGAGAGCUAUUUAGCGUGACUUUUCUUUCAUUUCUCAUUAUCUGACAAACGGUUGCGGGUGAGAAUGAUGAAACAAACCAUACAGAUAUUUGCUCGUGUUAAACCGACAAAGAAGCCGACCGCGGUGUACUCUGUGGAUAAUGAGGAGCAGAGCGGAGGCAGUUUGGAGUUCGUCCUUCCGAGGGAUCUUGCAGACGGCUUCGUCAAUAACAAGAGGGAGAGCUACAGAUUCAGGUUUCAGAAAGUUUUUGACCAAACAGCCAAGCAGGAGGAAAUCUUUGAUGCAAUUGCAAAGCCUGUGACUGAUACUGUGCUGGCAGGGUACAAUGGUACAAUUUUCGCCUAUGGACAGACUGGCAGUGGAAAGACGUUCACCAUCACGGGGGGCGCUGAGCGCUACAGUGACAGAGGAAUCAUCCCCAGAACUCUGUCCUACCUGUACCAGCAUUUCAGCCGGGACAGCAACAUGGUGUAUACUACGCACAUAUCUUAUCUGGAGAUCUACAAUGAGAUGGGAUAUGACCUUUUGGAUCCACGACAUGAAGCAUCAAAUCUGGAGGACUUACCGAAGGUGACAAUAAGGGAAGAUCCUGAGCAGAACAUUCAUCUUAAGAAUCUGUCAUUGCAGCCAUCAGCCAAUGAAGAAGAGGCUCUAAAUCUGCUUUUCCUGGGUGACACCAAUCGCAUGAUUGCAGAGACCCCAAUGAAUCAGGCGUCUACACGCUCUCACUGCAUCUUCACGAUUCACCUGUGCAGCCGUGAGCCCGGAUCAGCCACGCUACGUCGCUCCAAGCUGCACCUGGUAGACCUGGCUGGCUCUGAGAGGGUGGGAAAGACCGGUGUGGGGGGCCAGAUUCUCACCGAAGCCAAAUACAUCAACUUGUCUCUGCACUACCUUGAGCAGGUUAUCACAGCUCUGUCAGAGAAGAAUCGCUCACACAUUCCUUACCGAAACUCAAUGAUGACGUCUGUGCUCAGAGACAGUCUGGGCGGCAACUGCAUGACCACCAUGAUCGCUAUGGUGUCAGCGGAGAAGAAGAAUGUCGAUGAGUCAAUCUCAACCUGCCGUUUUGCUCAGAGAGUGGCCAUGAUUAAAAACGAAGCUCUUCUUAAUGAGGAGCUGGACCCAUCGCUGUUGAUUAUUCGUUUGAAGAAGGAGAUCCAGUGCUUAAAAGAGGAGCUAGCUAUGGUGACUGGAGAUCAAAGAAGUGAUGAGCUGACUCAAGAAGAGAUCCAGAGGACUGAAGACCAACUCAAGGUGUUUCUUGAUGACUCUGACCCUGAAGCCACUUUGGAUCUCGGAGCAGAUAUGAGAAAAAUCCGACACAGCUUUUCUUUCUUAAAGGCGAUGCUGCUGGGGAAACGGAGCACUCAGAAUGAAGCUGGUGAUAUUAGUCCGGUUACAACAUCAAGCAUCACAGACAUGCCAGACAGCCCAGCUAACAGAGAGCUGCUCAAACUGAAGGACAUGCUAACCCAGCGUGACAAUGAGAUCAGUAUCCUUGUGAGCAUGCUGAAGAAAGAGAAGCAGAAGUUUCAAGAAGCCAAUGGACAAUUAGCAAAAAUCAGCAGCUCCCAAAGCUCACUCCAGUCAUCAUUGUCAUCCUCUGGAACGCAUGCUGAGAGAAGAAUAAAGUGUGAAGCUUCGGAGGACCCUGCACAUUCCGAAAAUAUAAAGGUCAAGCAUAGUGGAGCUGAGCUGUCUAUGGGACGACAGGAGGCAUUUGAAAUAUUUAGGAGUGAGCAUGAGGAUAAUAUAACUAUUGAAGACAACAAGUUCAUAUUGAAGCAGAGGUUUGCAGAAGCAAAGGCGUUGGGUGAGCAGGUUAACCAGGCCAGGAGCAGUGUCAAUGAUCUGAAGAAACAGUUGGAGGCUAGAAGGAUGCAGAUGGCAGCACAGGGUGUAGUGGGGAAUCAGCCAAAUACAGAAUCUGACCCUGUACAAGAGAGACUCUGUAACCAGAUUGAAGAGGAGAAGAAAAAAUAUAAAAGCACCUUUGAACGUUUAAAAGGCUUAAAGACAGAGAUUGAACAUGUGCAGCACCUACUCCAGAGGGCAAAGGUCAAACUGCAGAAGGACUUCCAGGACUGGUGGAUUCAGGAAGCAGCAAGGCUACAGCAGAACCAAUGUUCAGAGAGUACAAGAGCAGGGCGAAGCAAGGACAGCUCUCCCCGCCUGCCAUCAUCCAGUUCACUGCUUGAUCCCCACAUCGAUAACCAGGACAGAGCACAAAUACACCAGCCUACUCCACCUACAAGAGAGCUGCGAGCGUUGUCCACUUCUGGCCCUGCCUCAACAUCUAUCCCACUGACUGGAGACCAACAGACUGAUGCAGACAUAAUGGCCUUUAUCAAAGCCAGACAAAAUCUGCUCACCAGAACAGAGAGUAGAGAUUUUCAGGAGCCUACACUUGGUCUCUCCUGUGGAGGUUUUUGAUUGUCAUCUGUGAGACUUUUCCAUGUCCGCGAUUAAACAUCCAGAUUUGUGCCAGGGUCACUUUGCAAAGGAGCGGCACCAAAAUAAAGUUUUGAUCAAGAUAAGACAAUGCACAAGAGUUUGUCUAACAAAUGCAUUACAUCAUUACACCAGCGAAGAUCACAGCCAUCUGAAUUUUUGAAGCUGUUUUGACUUGGACUGAAUAUUCAGAAUUCACAUGGACAACUAUUUUUUAUUAUUUUUCCCUACUUGGUCUAAUAGUACUUUCCUGUACUGUUUUCGUCACUAAUGGACAGGAACAUUCUGCAAAUGAGCUCGAAUGUCUCAGCAAUCACAUGUCACCUAGCAGCAGCAUAUAUCCCUGCUGAAGGCACUUAUCCGACCUGAGCAAAUGUUUUCACAAGCUAUCAUACAGCACUAACUGGAUCGGAUGUCUGAAACCCUGCCAAGAUCUACGACCUGUUUACCCGAGCCAUCAAAUCAUAGGGAUUUUAUUUGUGUUUUCUUUUCCCAGCAUGUUGUUUAAUCGAUUUUGUUUCCCCAUCUGCUCAGUAUAAAAGAGAUUCCUGUAAAAUAUGAUUAGCGAUUUCAUUUAUAUGACUUGUUCCGCUAUAAACUGCCUGUACGGGUGAAUUUAGACCCACUAACAGAUGUGCUAUUUAACACUGUCCUAUUACAUUAGGUCCCAACUUUAAUAUGGUUAUACCAAAGCAGCCUUAUUUGAUAAGUAACAAAAACAGCUCAAUAUUGUGCCAAGAUUGUUGAAAUAACUGAUGUUGUAGCAUUACACAGGGAACUCCAACGCACCCCUUUUUUCACACAGUGGUACGGUUUAGGGGACACGUAAGAAUUUCCAGGCAUUCUGCUUUUGCAUUUCUGUGAACAUAUUUGUUUGAAAUCUAGACAGCUGGAAAAGCAAUUUGCAUUGUAAGGCACUUUCCUCAGCCUGAUGCUUUUGGAGUUUAUCGAGGCCAUAUUAAGCCAGGGUCUACUUUUUGCUUUAUUUUAUUUGCACAUUUUUGGUAUGGUCCAGUAGCACUGUUCUCCAUGUGAAUACAAAAUAAACCUA